CUCUCUGUAGCUCAAUCGGACAGAGCGUCUGACUACGAAUCAGGAGGCUGGAGGUUCGAAUCCUCUCAGAGAGAC
rnacentral:tRNA from 4 species